rnacentral:rRNA from 1 species
UACGAAGGGGGCUAGCGUUGCUCGGAAUUACUGGGCGUAAAGCGCACGUAGGCGGCUCUUUAAGUCGGGGGUGAAAUCCUGGAGCUCAACUCCAGAACUGCCUUCGAUACUGUAGAGCUUGAGUUCGGGAGAGGUGAGUGGAACUGCGAGUGUAGAGGUGAAAUUCGUAGAUAUUGGGAGGAACACCAGUGGCGAAGGCGGCUCACUGGACCGGAACUGACGCUGAGGCGCGAAAGCGUGGGGAGCAAACGGG